rnacentral:tRNA from 1 species
UUUGAUAAGGGCGGGGUUAAUACCCACCUAAACAGGGCUACAACCUGCCGCCUACCUCGGCCACCU